rnacentral:rRNA from 1 species
GACGAACGCUGGCGGCGUGCCUAAUACAUGCAAGUUGAGCGCUGAAGGUUGGUACUUGUACCGACUGGAUGAGCAGCGAACGGGUGAGUAACGCGUGGGGAAUCUGCCUUUGAGCGGGGGACAACAUUUGGAAACGAAUGCUAAUACCGCAUAAAAACUUUAAACACAAGUUUUAAGUUUGAAAGAUGCAAUUGCAUCACUCAAAGAUGAUCCCGCGUUGUAUUAGCUAGUUGGUGAGGUAAAGGCUCACCAAGGCGAUGAUACAUAGCCGACCUGAGAGGGUGAUCGGCCACAUUGGGACUGAGACACGGCCCAAACUCCUACGGGAGGAAGCAGUAGGGAAUCUUCGGCAAUGGACGAAAGUCUGACCGAGCAACGCCGCGGGAGUGAAGAAGGUUUUCGGAUCGUAAAACUCUGUUGGUAGAGAAGAACGUUGGUGAGAGUGGAAAGCUCAUCAAGUGACGGUAACUACCCAGAAAGGGACGGCUAACUACGUG